rnacentral:rRNA from 1 species
GACGAACGCUGGCGGCGUGCUUAACACAUGCAAGUCGAACGGGGGCUGGGGAAGAGUAAUCUGAACUAGACCUAGUGGCGGACGGGUGAGUAACGCGUGAACAAUCUAUCCUUGUGAGGGGAAUAACACUUGGAAACAAGUGCUAAUACCGCAUGGGACCACAGCGCCGCAUGGCGCAGGGGUGAAAGGCUUCGGCCGCAUAAGGGUGAGUUCGCGUACCAUUAGCUAGUUGGGGAGGUAACGGCCCACCAAGGCAUCGAUGGGUAGCCGAUCUGAGAGGAUGAACGGCCAAACUGGAACUGAGAAACGGUCCAGACUCCUACGGGAGGCAGCAGUGGGGAAUAUUGGGCAAUGGGCGAAAGCCUGACCCAGCAACGCCGCGUGAGGGAAGAAGGAUUUCGGAUCGUAAACCUCUGUCGCAGGGGACGAAACAAAUGACGGUACCCUGUGAGGAAGCUCCGGCUAACUACGUGCCAGCCGCCGCCGUAA